CUAAAUUCCUGCUCAAGUAGGAACAAAAUUUCCUAUUGUUUCCCAUAGAUUUUCCUUUUGUUUUUCUGCCAACUCACAAAACUAUGACGAGGCACAUGGAAAACAACAGUUUCCCAACAAUUUUCAUUCAGGAAAUAACAGAAAGAACAGAAUUUUCAGUGAAUAAACAACAAGAACAGCAACAACAAUCGUGAGCAAACCGAAAUGGAAAAAGUUUUAUUGGCAACAAAUUGAAAACGAAAAAAAAAGAGGCCUCCUCGGACCUGCCUCGUUCGGAAACUCCUUCUGGCCAAAGUCCUGUGCUGGAGGAGGUCCUGGCAAUGAAGCGAACCAACAAGUUGCAUAAUUGUUGGCGCAUGAUAAAAUUAAACGGCAUGAAAUGAGCCCCAGCUGCUACUGCCACUGCUGCUCCUUUGCAGGACACUCCCACAGCUUCUCCACUUCUUGAAUCCCUUUUAAACUCCUAUCUGUUUCCCACUCCUCUCUGGAGUUUCCUCUCUGAAUUCCUUUCCUCAUUUGACUGCUCUCCUGCCUGCAGUUUUCCCUUCAUUUGAUUCUCCUCCCCCACCCGCCACACUGCGCUUUCCAUCUUUUUCCAGGUAGCCCAAAAAAGAAAGAGAG
rnacentral:lncRNA from 1 species